rnacentral:rRNA from 1 species
AACUAACGCUGGCGGCGUGCCUAACACAUGCAAGUCGUACGAGAAAGUUGGCUUCGGCCGAUGAGUAAAGUGGCGCACGGGUGAGUAAUGCGUGGAUAAUCUGCCCUUUAGUUGGGAAUAACGUACCGAAAGGUGCGCUAAUACCUGAUAAUACUGCAUAACUACUGUUGUGUAGUCAAAGAAGGCCUCUGUUUACAAGCUUUUGCUGAAGGAUGAGUCCGCGUACCAUUAGCUGGUUGGUGGGGUAAUGGCCUACCAAGGCUACGAUGGUUAGCUGGUCUGAGAGGAUGAUCAGCCACACUGGAACUGAGACACGGUCCAGACUCCUACGGGAGGCAGCAGUCGAGAAUAGUCUACAAUGGCCGAAAGGCUGAUAGUGCGACGCCGCGUGAACGAAGAAGCCCUUCGGGUGUAAAGUUCUUUAUAUGUGAGCAGUGCUUUCUAUGUGAACAGCAUGGGGAGAGAGAUAUUAGCAUA